rnacentral:rRNA from 1 species
GUAACCCAAAGGACUUGGCGGUGCUUCAAACCCCCCUAGAGGAGCCUGUCCUAUAACCGAUAAUCCCCGUUUAACCUCACCACUCCUUGCCAACCCAGUUUAUAUACCACCGUCGCCAGCUUACCCCAUGAGGGUAUAACAGUAAGCUAAAUGGGCCCCCACCCAACACGUCAGGUCGAGGUGUAGCGAACGAAGUGGGAAGAGAUGGGCUACAUUUUCCUGAAAC